GUAGGUGAACCUGCGGAAGGAUCAUUAACACUAAUCCAUCUCAACUCAACCAAGCCUUCAGUUGCUGCAGUUGUGCCUCGGUGCAGCUGCAACAACAAAGUAUAAAACUAAUCUAAACAAAGGAGCCUAACUAAGAACAACCACUAAACUAAAUUUUCAACGGUGGAUGUCUUGGUUCCCACAACGAUGAAGAACGCAGCGAAGUGCGAUAAGCAGUGCGAAUUGCAGAACCGUGAGUCAUCAGAUUUUUGAACGCAACUUGCGCCGUCUGGGGUAACUCAGCGGCACGCCUGGUCCAGUGUCUUGUUAUCUCAUCACCAAGAUCAUAAUGCGAGAGAUGCCCUUCUCUUGCCAAACAUGAAAGCACUCUGCAAUCUGCGAGCGACUUUCGGGUCGCACUCCAUGCAGCAGUCACAUUGCUCACAAUGUGAACUCAUGGGGAGUAGUUGUAGCGCAACGUCAGUUGUAAGUGCUUAGACUUUCCAACUUAGGAAUAGUAUCUGGGCUCAGGCGGGACCACCCGCUGAACUUAAGCAUAUCAGUA
rnacentral:rRNA from 1 species